rnacentral:rRNA from 1 species
UUGACCUCAAAUCGGGUGAGACUACCCGCUGAACUUAAGCAUAUCAAUAAGCGGAGGAAAAGAAACUAACAAGGAUUCCCCUAGUAACUGCGAGUGAAGCGGGAAAAGCUCAAAUUUAAAAUCUGGCGGUCUCUGGCCGUCCGAGUUGUAAUUUAGAGAAGCGUCUUCCGCGCCGGGCCGUGCACAAGUCUCCUGGAAUGGAGCGUCAUAGAGGGUGAGAAUCCCGUCUUUGGCACGGAUGCCUGUGCUUCUGUGAUGCRCUCUCGAAGAGUCGAGUUGUUUGGGAAUGCAGCUCAAAAUGGGUGGUGAACUCCAUCUAAAGCUAAAUAUUGGCGAGAGACCGAUAGCGAACAAGUACCGUGAGGGAAAGAUGAAAAGCACUUUGGAAAGAGAGUGAAACAGUACGUGAAAUUGUUGAAAGGGAAACGCUUGAAGUCAGUCGCGUCGACCGAGACUCAGCCUUGCCUUGGCUUGGUGUACUUCUCGGCCCGACGGGUCAGCGUCAAUUUUGCCCCUCGGAUAAUGGCAAGGGAAAGGUGGCACCUUCGCGGGUGUGUUAUAGUCUCCUGUCGCAUGCGAGGGGUGGGAUUGAGGAACUCAGCGCGCACCUUGGUGUCGGGGCUUCGGCCCACGUCACGCGCUUAGGAUGCUGGCGUAAUGGCUUUAAACGACCCGUCUUGAAACACGGACCAAGGAGUCCAACACGCCCGCGAGUGUUCGGGUGGAAAACCCGUGCGCGCAAUGAAAGUGAAAGUUGGGACCUCUGUCGUGGAGGGCACCGACGCCCGGACCAGACCUUCUGUGACGGAUCUGCGGUAGAGCGUGCGUGUUGGGACCCGAAAGAUGGUGAACUAUGCCUGAAUAGGGUGAAGCCAGAGGAAACUCUGGUGGAGGCUCGUAGCGAUUCUGACGUGCAAAUCGAUCGUCAAAUUUGGGUAUAGGGGCGAAAGACUAAUCGAA